AUAGGUAGGACGUGUCGG
rnacentral:snRNA from 1 species